rnacentral:rRNA from 1 species
ACGGGUGAGUAAUGCCUAGGAAUCUGCCUGGUAGUGGGGGACAACGUUUCGAAAGGAACGCUAAUACCGCAUACGUCCUACGGGAGAAAGCAGGGGACCUUCGGGCCUUGCGCUAUCAGAUGAGCCUAGGUCGGAUUAGCUAGCUGGUGAGGUAAUGGCUCACCAAGGCGACGAUCCGUAACUGGUCUGAGAGGAUGAUCAGUCACACUGGAACUGAGACACGGUCCAGACUCCUACGGGAGGCAGCAGUGGGGAAUAUUGGACAAUGGGCGAAAGCCUGAUCCAGCCAUGCCGCGUGUGUGAAGAAGGUCUUCGGAUUGUAAAGCACUUUAAGUUGGGAGGAAGGGUUGUAGAUUAAUACUCUGCAAUUUUGACGUUACCGACAGAAUAAGCACCGGCUAACUCUGUGCCAGCAGCCGCGGUAAUACAGAGGGUGCAAGCGUUAAUCGGAAUUACUGGGCGUAAAGCGCGCGUAGGUGGUUCGUUAAGUUGGAUGUGAAAUCCCCGGGCUCAACCUGGGAACUGCAUUCAAAACUGUCGAGCUAGAGUAUGGUAGAGGGUGGUGGAAUUUCCUGUGUAGCGGUGAA